AUACUUACCUGGCAGGGGAGAUACCAUGAUCACGAAGGUGGUUUUCCCAGGGUGAGGUUUAUCCAUUGCACUCCGGAUGUGCUGACCCCUGCGAUUUCCCCAAAUGUGGGAAACUUGACUGCAUAAUUUGUUGUAGUUGGGGACUGCGUUCACGCUAGA
rnacentral:snRNA from 1 species